rnacentral:lncRNA from 1 species
GGCGGGCGUCCCCACCACGCCGGGGAAUGGGGCUAGGUGACGAGGUACGGGCACAACCGGCCGCAGUUCUUAUCUCUGCUCCCCACGAUCCCCCCUGCCUCCACGCCCACCAUCCCUCCUGCCUCGGUAGAGCCUUUUCUCCUGUCCAUUUGUGCUCCGUCCGGCCAGCCACUUCUCUGAGGGGCGGAGCGUGACACCCUUCAAGGAUCCUGUACCCAGGGUCUUUCUAUGCAACCUUGGCUUGGCUGUUCUGGAACUUUCUAGUAGACCAAACUGGCCUGUAACUCAGAUCUCCUGAGUGCUGGGAUUAAAUGUGUACUAUCACACCCAUCUCACUCAAAGCUUCGGUUCAUUCGUGGUAAGGUAUUUUGGUGGAGGUCUCUAAGGAACUAUGAACCCAGAAUUACUCCCUGGAACUUAGCAACCCCUUUAGGGGCAGACCUGGCCAAAGACCCUUUGAUGUUUCACAUUUUCCUCCCUCACCUCAUGUCUCUCCUUGUCCUUACAGUGUCCAUCUAUGUGCCCUUACUUCCAGGUUCUGUGCUACUCGAAGAGGACCAUCCUCUGUUUUUGGUUGAUUGCUAUGGAGACUUCAGACCUUGCUCAGACACCUGCUUCCUCUGCCCAAAAAGUCUACUUAGGUGUUUUUACCUUGCAUGCCUGGCUGUAGUGGCUGUCUCCCCAUGAAUAGCUAUGGUGUUUGGGACUGGGACAGAGCCACCCCAAGGCCUGGCGUUGGUCUGACCUACCAUAAGCACUCAGUGGAUAGUGAGCACACAGGAAGCUUUAUUUGGUGAGGGAAUAGUACAAAUGCCACAUUGCAGUGGAACACUGAGCUAGGAUGAGGCCUUGAGUGUUCUUGGGACAAAAGCAUAGGUAUAGGAGUAGCCACCAGCCAUCAAGGGAAAACAGGGCUAAUGAGCACAGCAAAGCUAACAAGAUUCAGGUCAGGGCCCCUAGUGAACCUGAGUCUACUUGCAGAGAAGAUAAGAGCCUGUGGGUGUUGGGGAGAUGGAGUUCAUAAGGCUCCACCCCUCCCUAGGUAGCAACAGGCAGUUAAAAGUUGCUGCUAAGCAGUGAAGCCAAAUUGUUGUUGCUUAUGUAAAGAACCUCCAACUGGUGUUCAUGUUGACAAUUCUGAAUAAAUGCAGAGGAACACACACAAACACACUCUCAUACACACACAAACACACAAAAGUAUGUUGGGAGGAUGAAUUUGAUAGGAAGGAAAAGGGACUAAGAGAAGAUAAAUGGGGGAAUAUGAUUAGGGUACAUUAUAUAUGAAUGAAGUUGUGAAAGAAUAAGAAUAAUUUCAAAACAAAGAAAGAAAGGAAGGAAGAAAAAAAGAAAGGGACAUAAGAGUCUCUCAUUGCCUAGAGCUCAGGAGAAGGGAGGUAAAGCCUGGGUCUUUAGUCUGCCCUAUGACUGACUACUGGAGAAAGAUCUGGAAGACAGUAGAGCCAACGCCUAGCUCUGGGUGUAGGACGAAAAAAGGUGUGCUCCCCCAGAGUUCUGGCCUGAACUCUGAGCACAUCCUCCUUCCAGUCUUCUCCCAGCCCAGCCUGGCACUCUUCUGGCCCCAUGGCUUUCCAUUUUGCUGCCACCCCUAGGGAACUUCCAGAAUCCAGAGCAGGUGUGAUUUGUGAUUACAUUCUCCCUGUACCAACCGCCAUCCUUGGAGAAAGGUGUGUGCAGGAGUACAGAUGGGCGUGAGGUUGGCAAGAGUCUGAUGCCUCUUGGUGUAGCUCCCACUGGUGUGGAGAGGGGCCAACUGUGCUGCCUAGUCCCAGCCUCCCUAGACUUCUCUGGUCUCCACUCUGGCCUUAGUCCUAGGCCCUUGACAAAAAAAAAAAAAGACAAAGCAG